UACGUAGGGGGCAAGCGUUGUCCGGAAUCAUUGGGCGUAAAGCGCGUGUAGGCGGCCCGGUAAGUCCGCUGUGAAAGUCGGGGGCUCAACCCUCGAAUGCCGGUGGAUACUGUCGGGCUAGAGUGCGGAAGAGGCGAGUGGAAUUCCUGGUGUAGCGGUGAAAUGCGCAGAUAUCAGGAGGAACACCAAUUGCGAAGGCAGCUCGCUGGGACGUGACUGACGCUGAGAUGCGAAAGCGUGGGGAGCAAACAGG
rnacentral:rRNA from 1 species